UACGUAGGUGGCAAGCGUUGUCCGGAUUUAUUGGGGUUAAAGGGUGCGUAGGCGGUCUUAUAAGUCAGUGCUGAAAUAUCCCGGCUUAACCGGGAGGGUGGCAUUGAUACUGUAGGACUUGAGUAGAGUUGAGGUUGGCGGAAUUGACGGUGUAGCGGUGAAAUGCUUAGAUAUCGUCAAGAACACCGAUUGCGAAGGCAGCUAACUAAGCUUUAACUGACGCUGAGGCACGAAAGUGUGGGGAUCAAACAGG
rnacentral:rRNA from 1 species